rnacentral:rRNA from 1 species
UAUACCGCCGUCGUCAGCUUACCCUGUGAAGGUUAAAUAGUAAGCAAAAUUGGUACAACCCAAAACGUCAGGCCGAGGUGUAGCGUAUGAGAGGGGAAAAAAUGGGCUACAUUUCCUAUGUAUAGGAAACACGAACAUUGUACUGAAACGUACAUUUGAAGGAGGAUUUAGCAGUAAGUAGAAAAUAGAGUGUUCUGCUGAAACUGGCUCUAAAGCGCGCACACACCGCCCGUCACUCUCCCCAAGCUUAUAACAUUACUAUAAUUAAUUUGUCAAAAUUGCAAAGGGGAGGCAAGUCGUAACAUGGUAAGUGUACCGGAAGGUGCACUUGGAUAA